UUUGGCCAGACAACAGAACAUGUAGUGACAUGACAUCCUCCACCACAAAUAAGCUGUACACAAGCAGAUGGAAGAACAGACACCCCCAGGAAGACGUGUAUUACCAGAGCUACCAUGAGGACAAAGACCUGCAUAGGAGAAAAAUGAUGGUUUAGAAAAUGUAUGGCCAAAAUGUCAGCUCCUUUCUUGAAGGGAGAAGUGAGACUAUAGCUCUGGUAUGUUUUGCCCACCUUUCCAUAUGAGGAUACAGUGCCCAUGGAAAAAAUAUUUUGAGUCUUUCAUGACCAGAAGAGAGAGACAGAAGAAGGUGGGGAGAGAGGGAGAAAAAUGCUGAGAACAGAGCCCUAAAGGAGUUUGAUCCCAAAAAGUAUGGAUUGGAAGGUUCUACAGACUGUGGAACAAACAGACCAGGACUGUGUUUGAGAAGGGGAAACAUUAAACCCAUCGGCGCCAAUCAGUUUUUGUCACCACUUUUUCUGGAGCAUCAAUAUGGACCUGAGGUCAGCAUGGACAAAAGACACCACAGAGGACAUGAGGCAUCCAGAUGCCUCUGCUCAUUUUUGUGUGUUUUGGAUCGGCUGUGGUCAAUGGCUUGUCACAGUUACCAGGUCUAUAAUAAAGUGUGAAAAUCCCUGA